ACAGUGGGUGCACCUGAAAGGUAGUCAGUCGCCCUGGCCUUCAGUGGGAAACUUACUUUCUCCAUUAUCAGAUCCUGGGACAGAGAGCCUUCAAAAAGAGCAGUCCCUCCAAUUCCGUCCCAGGAGCCCCUGCCUUGGGAUGGGGGAAGCCUCCUUUGCGUCCGCACGCCCGCAGGAUGCCCAGCUGAUCUUUAAGCGAUUUUACUUUUUGAGGAUCGAACUAGGCUGCCAACAUGGACCACAAUCCUAUCCUCAUUUCUGAACUGUACAAUUGUUUCCCUUAACUUAAUUCACUUAUUUUAUCUUCUUUGUCAAGGCCCUUGGGUUGUAUUGCUUGAACUCGUAUGAAGUUUAUAUUUGUAAAUAUAUGAUUGACUAUGUAUGUAGAUUUGUUUUUUUGUAUAAGCUGCUGUGGCCUUUGGCUCUGUGUGGAUAAAAUUUGAUUUGAUUCAAGUUGAUAUAUGUAUACAAAUUAUAUUAAUAAAACAACAAGAUUUAUCUGCAGAAGGCGUUGCAUGCAGACAAGCCACUUUAGAUGGAAAGGUUCCCUUGUCCACUAGGAAAUAGAUCCACACACUGCUUUUGCUUUACGCUUGCUUGGUUUUCUUGAAUUCUACUGAAAGAAGCUAGAGAAUGAAAGCCGUGUUAACUGUUUGUGCAAGAGUAAUAACAGCCUUUAACAGAAGAAGGAGAAUUAUUUUUGUCUAGUUCCCCUGGCAUAGGCAGAAGAGGCUAGUCAGUGCCUAUCCACCUGCCAUUGGGCACUUCUUUUCUGUACUGAAAGGCCUUGUAUGAAAUAUAAAUUGAAAAAGCCAUUAGUUGGUGACUACGCUAUGCUUUCCUUGAUGCUUUGGUAGUUCUUGUGCCUGCAAUUCACGGCUGGGGAGAUAUUGAAGAGAUCACACAUAGCCCCAUCCCCCUCCAGUGCCACUCAGUCACAAUGACAGCAGGUAUCCGUGAGCCAGAAGGAAGCGCUUACAAGGGGUGGCUGCAUUUGGAAAUAGAAGCCCCAGUUAGCAGGCGGAAGCAUUGGUGCUGAAAGCAAUCACUGG
rnacentral:lncRNA from 11 species